rnacentral:rRNA from 1 species
UACGGAGGGUGCAAGCGUUGUUCGGAAUCAUUGGGCGUAAAGCGCGUGUAGGCGGCUUGGCAAGUCGGUUGUGAAAGCCCGGGGCCCAACCCCGGAACUGCAUCUGAAACUGCCUAGCUAGAGUCCCGGAGAGGAAGGCAGAAUUCCCGGUGUAGGGGUGAAAUCCGUAGAUAUCGGGAGGAAUACCAGCGGCGAAGGCGGCCUUCUGGACGGUGACUGACGCUGAGACGCGAAAGCGUGGGGAGCAAACAGG